GGCAGUUUGAUAAAUCGGUAUCGAACGAAGGACUGAUAGGAGUCAGAAAU
rnacentral:sRNA from 1 species